GCCGGGGUGGCGGAAUUGGUAGACGCAAGGGACUUAAAAUCCCUCGAGGGAAACCUCGUGCCGGUUCGAGUCCGGCCCUCGGCACCA
rnacentral:tRNA from 1 species